rnacentral:rRNA from 1 species
GGAAGCACCGGCUAACUCCGUGCCAGCAGCCGCGGUAAUACGGAGGGUGCGAGCGUUGUUCGGAUUUAUUGGGCGUAAAGCGCGUGUAGGCGGUUUUUUAAGUCUGAUGUGAAAGCCCCGGGCUCAACCUGGGAAGUGCAUUGGAUACUGGGAGACUUGAAUACGGGAGAGGGUAGUGGAAUUCCUAGUGUAGGAGUGAAAUCCGUAGAUAUUAGGAGGAACACCGGUGGCGAAGGCGGCUACUGGACCGAUAUUGACGCUGAGACGCGAAAGCGUGGGAGCAAACAGGAUUAGAUACCUGGAGUCACGCCGUAACGAUGAGAACUAGGUGUUGCGGUAAGGGCGAAUCAGCAACUGCGGCGUACUAGUGAUCGAGUCGUACAGCUUGCUAUCUGUCUGKGAUCUGA